ACGAACUUCUGUGUACUAUGGAGAUAUAAAGUCUGCAAAAUAAAUAGAUUUUUCCAUUGACGAUCUGGAUUUCCAAUUUACUGCUUUCUUUUGUUCUAUUUUGGAUGAGAAUAAGCAUGCAUCCAAUUAUUCUUUUGCUCUAUCUUACAAAUUCGACGCACAUACCUUCCACCUGCAGCUCGUUCCUAUCAUCAGAUGGAGCGACCAAAUUAUCAGCUGAAUCUUUCUCCCCUUGUCCCAUUUAACUGAGGUGGGAAAUAAGUAUCGUAAAUAAACUGCACACAAGAGAAGGAAAAAGAAAAUUAGGGGGUUCUUUACGUUGGAGCUUCUUCAGAAACGGCUUAAGCUUAGCUACCCCACAGAUUCAGUGAUGGAAAAAAGACCCUGAGAAACUGCAGUCUAGUUCAUUUCGGCUUCUCUCCCCUCCGCGUACUUUAUUUGUGAGUUCUCGGAUGAAAAGUGUAAUGCCAGAUACCCUUGUACUGUAGUUGUCUAAUGUUUAACUUCUUUGUAAUCUUUUGCUAUGUUUAUUGUAGAUGUGAACAACAAAACACCUUACGGAGGCACAACACAUCAAGCAUAGCAAUAGAGGAG
rnacentral:lncRNA from 1 species